GCGUUCCAGUGUGAGUACUAAUUAUCAAUUGUUUUAUUAUUUGAGCUGAUGUUGUAUUUUCUCUCAGACCCUCUUCUCGGGAAUCGGUAGUGUUUGGCUGAUAUUUGCCUUGCUUGAGUUUAUCAUCUCCAUCUAUCUAUCAUCUUUUGCCUGUAAAGCCACUUCCUGCUGUUAUCCACAGAUGCCGUAUUUUGCACAAGGUUUACCUCCACUGCCCUGUGAUUUUAGGCCCUGUCAUUACCAUGAACCUAAGAGCCCAAAGGUAAGAGAAGCUUGAAACACCAGUUUAAUUGGACUUUGAGUAGAAUGAUACACAAAAAAUAUGAAAAGUGAAAAACUCAAAAUAUUUGUAUUUAGUGUUGAGGGUCCUUGUACUAGAAAUGUCUAAAGCACUAAGUAAUUGGUGCAAUAAUUAUUUAUUAUCAAUGUAAGGAAGCUGAUCAUAUAGAUUUUUUUCCUUGCAGAUAUCUGUGAUCAGCAACCCUUCCAUGAAUCACCAACCUGCAGAAAUUCCUCCACAAUACAAUGAAAUAUAAAUAAAUAUGAAUAGUAAAAAGGGGUCAGUGACGUGAUCCUGCAGUUGUGUGUGCUGCUUUUGUGGGACAAAAGGCUCCCUGUCCCUUACUACUAAUGUACUGUCAUUAGAAAAGAGAACAUAAAAGCACAGAAGAAAUCACUUGAUCAGAUUACAGAUUUUACAUAUUUUUUUAAGUCACAUAUGUGUAAAUUAUAACUAUUCAAGACACUAAUAGAUACUAUUUCCUGGUUUUCUUUCUUUAGUUAAGUCAAAGUUGCCCUAUCAUCAGUGAAACUGGAUAGAUUGUUUUGAACAAGUAAUAGACAAUACUGUAAUACUGUAGGAAUAAAAUAUACUGAAUAAAAAUU
rnacentral:lncRNA from 12 species